GGAGAUGGGCCAGGUGCGCAAGGAGAUGUGCCAGGAGAUGGGCCAGGUGCGCCAGGAGAUAUGCCAAUUGCUAAGGGAAUACACCUCCUCAGCUAGUGAAAAACCCUCUCCCUGCCCCAAAGAGGGUGAGUCCGAUGGUGCAGCAGUGGAACCCACGGAUGUUACAACCAUCCAGGCUUCAGCUGAACCACAAGGACAACCACAGCCAGCAGCAGUCGCCCCUGUGCAAAGGAGGAAGUAUAAGACCAAAUCAGUACGACCAGUUAAUGAUGAUGGGCAACCAGGGCCCUCACAACCAGCAGGAGAGCCAGAGCCAGAAGUCAUCACUGAGUCCCUGUCGCACGACAGUCUCCGUGCUAUGCGAAACGACAUUGUGCGAAGGGGGCGUGAGCCUUAUACCACCUGGCUGCUUCGGGUUUGGGACCUUAUGGGCACAAGUGUGCAACUGGAUAGUGGUGAGGCAAGGUAUCUGGGAUCGUUGACCCAGGACCCAGGUGUGGACCAGAUAUUUGUGAGGGAGCCAGGGCCUCUCUCUCUUUGGGAGCGGCUCUUAAUGAGUGUGAGAGAAAGGUUCAUUCACAAAGAAAGAAUGCAGGAGUAUCAUCAUAGAAUGCAGUGGAAGACACUCGAGCAAGGGAUCCAACAGCUAAGAGAGGUGGCAAUAUUAGAGGUACUCUUUGGGAAGGAUGGACAGCAUGAUAAUGACCCCGAUAAGGUCAGGUGCACAGGACAGAUGAUGUGGAACCUGGCAAGGCUAGGGCCAUCACAAUACACCACCUUCAUUGCAACGAUUGAUGCUGACAAUACCCGAGAAACAGUGGGCUCUGUUGCCAACAGGCUCAGGCAUUAUGACAGCAUGAUCAAUGGCCCGCUAAAAGCUCAUGUCUCUGCUGUGGUCCAGGACCUCAAAGAGGAGAUGAAGGAGAAGAUGGAGGAGAUGAGGGAGGAGAUGAGGAGGGUCAGUGUGGCACCAGUGCGAGUCACAGGCCCCCAAGUCAGAGCCCGUCGUCCCCCUGCUAGAGAGAGAGGGUACACCCCACGAGCUGAGCUGUGGUUUUUCCUGUGUGAGCAUGGGGAAGACAUGAGAAGGUGGGAUGGGAAACCCACCUCUGCCCUGGCAGCGCGGGUGCGUGAACUCAAGGAGGGAGGCACUAACCGA
rnacentral:lncRNA from 1 species